AGAAUCAACGCUGGCGGCGUGCCUAACACAUGCAAGUCGAACGAGAAAAUGGUAGCAAUACCAUGAGUAAAGUGGCGCACGGGUGAGUAACACGUGACUAACCUACCCUUGAGUGGGGGAUAACUGAGGGAAACCUUAGCUAAUACCGCAUAAUACCCACGGGUCAAAGGAGCAAUUCGCUCGAGGAGGGGGUCGCGGCCGAUUAGUUAGUUGGCGGGGUAAUGGCCCACCAAGACGAUGAUCGGUAUCCGGCCUGAGAGGGCGCACGGACACACUGGAACUGAAACACGGUCCAGACUCCUACGGGAGGCAGCAGUGGGAAUUUGCGCAAUGGGGGAAACCCUGACGCAGCAACGCCGCGUGGAGGAUGAAGUCCUUCGGGACGUAAACUCCUUUCGAUCGGGACGAUUAUGACGGUACCGGAAGAAGAAGCCCGGCUAACUUCGUGCCAGCAGCCGC
rnacentral:rRNA from 1 species